GACGAACGCUGGCGGCGUGCUUAACACAUGCAAGUCGAACGAUGACGCCCGAGCUUGCUCGGUCUGAUUAGUGGCGAACGGGUGAGUAACACGUGAGCAACCUGCCCUUCACUCUGGGAUAACCUCGGGAAAUCGGGGCUAAUACCGGAUAUGAGCUCCUGUCGCAUGGCGGGUGUUGGAAAGUUUUUCGGUGAAGGAUGGGCUCGCGGCCUAUCAGUUUGUUGGUGAGGUAGUGGCUCACCAAGGCGAUGACGGGUAGCCGGCCUGAGAGGGCGACCGGCCACACUGGGACUGAGACACGGCCCAGACUCCUACGGGAGGCAGCAGUGGGGAAUAUUACACAAUGGGCGAAAGCCUGAUGCAGCGACGCCGCGUGAGGGAUGACGGCCUUCGGGUUGUAAACCUCUUUCAGCAGGGAAGAAGCGAAAGUGACGGUACCUGCAGAAGAAGCGCCGGCUAACUACGUG
rnacentral:rRNA from 1 species